rnacentral:tRNA from 1 species
GCGGCCAUGGCGGAAUGGUAGACGCGCUAGUUUCAGACGCUAGUGGGGAGACCCGUGGAAGUUCAAGUCUUCUUGGCCGCACCA